UCUCCGUAGGUGAACCUGCGGAGGGAUCAUUACUGAGUGAGGGCUCCGGCCCGACCUCCAACCCCAUGUGAACCAAAACCUGUUGCUUCGGGGGCGACCCUGCCUUUCGGCGCGGCGCCCCCGGAGGCCAUUAAACACUGCAUCAUUGCGUCGGAGUUAAAGUGAAUUAAACAAAACUUUCAACAACGGAUCUCUUGGUUCUGGCAUCGAUGAAGAACGCAGC
rnacentral:misc_RNA from 1 species